AUGUUGGUUGAGCAGUUAAUUAGUGCAGUGAAUUAUAGCAACUGUUACUAAAUCAUUUCUGAUAUGAAAGAUUAUUUUCUGUCUAAAUAUGUAAUUAGUGAUUGGAUAUGGCUCAUCUUGUGAUCUUAGGAUUUUAAUAUCAUUGAUUUCUGAAUUUUGUUGGAGAAUGUAGAGCCAUUAAACUCCCCCAAAUCAACUUUAGUUUGUGUUUCAUCGAUUGUUUCACUAAGGUACAGAAGUGCAUAUUCUGACUUUCUUAAGUAAAUGGAGGGUAAGCCUAAUGUUGCAAGUUUGUUAGUUUCUUUGACUGAAGGAUAUGUUGGCAUGUUUCCUUGAGAAUUGGCUGUAUCAGUAUAUCAUGAAGUUUCCCUUAACUUGAUCUAUUGGGUGUUUUGCUGGGAUUGUGAAUAGAAUGGCAUGCGGUUUCUUCAUGGACAUGGGAUGCUCAGGAUGAAACUUGUGGUAUAUGUCGGAUGGCUUUUGAUGGUUGCUGUCCUGAUUGCAAACUCCCUGGUGAUGAUUGUCCACUAAUAUGGGGUGCUUGCAACCAUGCAUUUCAUCUUCAUUGUAUUUUGAAGUGGGUGAAUUCUCAAUCUGCUCAAGCACAUUGUCCCAUGUGUCGUCGUGAAUGGCAGUUCAAAGAAUGAACAAAGGUUCCGUGCAUCUUUUGCUCAUGAAUGUGGCAGUAGGAACGGAAUGAUGUGUCUUGUGUGUGAUACAAUGAUAUUCUAGCGAUAAUUGCUGAGCUGAUAUGUGCUCAUCCCCAUUUACGAUUACUAAUUUAAGCCAUUUAAGGCCUAGAAUAGAUAGUGUAUUUUAUCAGCAGGUGCAGAUAUUAUAUUAGCCAUUUAUCCCAAAAGUCCUCAAUACAUCAGUUGCCAGCCAUUGAUUGAGAAGAAAAGGAUAUAACGGAUGUUCAUUUCUGGUCCAAAGUAGGCUGCCUGUCAUUAUAAGUUUGGCUCCUUUACGACAGCCGCCUCUACCCCAUUUUGUGCCCACUUGAAAUUGGAAAACAAACAUCAAUAUAUUAGUGCCUUGUGACUA